rnacentral:rRNA from 1 species
UACGGAGGAUGCAAGCGUUAUCCGGAAUGAUUGGGCGUAAAGCGUCCGCAGGUGGCUGUGUAAGUCUGCUGUCAAAGAGCGAAGCUCAACUUCGUAAAGGCAGUGGAAACUACACGGCUAGAGUGCGUUCGGGGCAGAGGGAAUUCCUGGUGUAGCGGUGAAAUGCGUAGAGAUCAGGAAGAACACCGGUGGCGAAGGCGCUCUGCUGGACCUGCACUGACACUGAGGGACGAAAGCUAGGGGAGCGAAAGGG